CAAGUACUCCCUCCGUUCUGAAUUACUUGUCGCAAGUAUGGAUGUAUCUAGAUGUAUUUUAGUUCUAGAUACAUCCAUUUUAGCACGAGUAAUUUGGAACGGAGGGAGUAGUGC
rfam:Triticum aestivum genome assembly, contig: Triticum_aestivum_CS42_TGACv1_scaffold_049441_1BS